UCGGAAAGGAUUGGUCAUGACGUUCGAUACGUUCGUGAUGCUGUUGAAACAUUGGAACUAAAAAUCAGUAGAAUAGAAGGGAAGCAGGAAAUGACAAACCUUGGAGUAAAGAAGUUGGUUGACUAUGCGUACAAUUUGGAAAACAACUUACUUGAAGAGAAUACUCAGGCUUCAUCAUCCAGUUCACGAAUUACAUUCUCAUCAAAGA
rnacentral:misc_RNA from 1 species